GGAGGGUGCAAGCGUUGUUCGGGAAUUACUGGGGCGUAAAGAGCGCGUAGGCGGCUUCUUGUGUCAGGGUGUGAAAGUCCUGGGGGCCUAACCCAGGGAAGCGCGCCUGAAACUGAGAGGCUUGAGUGCGGGAAAGGAGGGCGGAAUUCCUAGUGUAGAGGUGAAAUUCGUAGAUACUAGGAGGAACACCGAUAGCGAAAGCAGCUCUCUGGACCGAUACUGACGCUGAGGCGCGAAAGCGUGGGUAGCAAACAGGAUUAGAUACCCUGGUAGUCCACGCCGUAAACGAUGGAUACUAGUUAUUGCGAGCUUAUAAACUUGCAGUGACGCAGCUAACGCAUUAAGUAUCCCGCCUGGGGAGUACGGCCGCAAGGCUA
rnacentral:rRNA from 1 species